rnacentral:rRNA from 1 species
GACGAACGCUGGCGGCGUGCCUAAUACAUGCAAGUUGAGCGCCGAAGGUUGGUACUUGUACCAACUGGAUGAGCAGCGAACGGGUGAGUAACGCGUGGGGAAUCUGCCUUUGAGCGGGGGACACCGCGUGGAAACGAAUGCUAAUACCGCAUAAAUACUUUACACACAAGUUUUAAGUUUGAAAGAUGCAAUUGCAUCACUCAAAGAUGAUCCCGCGUUGUAUUAGCUAGUUGGUGAGGUAAAGGCUCACCAAGGCGAUGAUACAUAGCCGACCUGAGAGGGUGAUCCGCCACAUUGGGACUGAGACACGGCCCCAACUUCUACGGGAGGCAGCAGGAGGGAAUCUUCGGCAAUGGACGAAAGUCUGGCCGAGCAACGCCGCGGGAGGGAAGAAGGUUUUCGGAUCGUAAAACUCUGUUGGUAGAGAAGAACGUUGGUGAGAGUGGAAAGCUCAUCAAGUGACGGUAACUAACCAGAAAGGGACGGCUAACUACGUG